GACAGAGGGUGCAAACGUUGUUCGGAAUUACUGGGCGUAAAGGGCGCGUAGGCGGCCUGUUAAGUCGAACGUGAAAUCCCCGGGCUCAACCCGGGAACUGCGUCCGAUACUGGCAGGCUCGAAUCCGGGAGAGGGAUGCGGAAUUCCAGGUGUAGCGGUGAAAUGCGUAGAUAUCUGGAGGAACACCGGUGGCGAAGGCGGCAUCCUGGACCGGCAUUGACGCUGAGGCGCGAAAGCCAGGGGAGCAAACGGG
rnacentral:rRNA from 1 species